rnacentral:tRNA from 1 species
GCCCUAAUCGCUUAAUGGAUAAAGCUUUUGUCUUCGGAACAAAAGAUGAGGGUUCAAUUCCUUCUUAGGGCG